rnacentral:rRNA from 1 species
AGUGAACGCUGGCGGUAGGCCUAACACAUGCAAGUCGAACGGCAGCACAGGAGAGCUUGCUCUCUGGGUGGCGAGUGGCGGACGGGUGAGGAAUACAUCGGAAUCUACUUUUUCGUGGGGGCUAACGUAGGGAAACUUACGCUAAUACCGCAUACGACCUACGGGUGAAAGCAGGGGACCUUCGGGCCUUGCGCGAUUGAAUGAGCCGAUGUCGGAUUAGGUAGUUGGCGGGGUAAAGGCCCACCAAGGCGACGAUCCGUAGCUGGUCUGAGAGGGUGAGCAGCCACACUGGAACUGAGACACGGUCCAGACUCCUACGGGAGUCAGCAGUGGGGAAUAUUGGACAAUGGGCGCAAGCCUGAUCCAGCCAUACCGCGUGGGUGAAGAAGGCCUUCGGGUUGUAAAGCCCUUUUGUUGGGAAAGAAAUCCAGCGGGCUAAUACCCGGUUGGGAUGACGGUACCCAAAGAAUAAGCACCGGCUAACUUCGUGCCAGCCGCCGCCGUAA